rnacentral:rRNA from 1 species
GAGAAGCUUGCUUCUCUGAUGUUAGCGGCGGACGGGUGAGUAACACGUGGAUAACCUACCUAUAAGACUGGGAUAACUUCGGGAAACCGGAGCUAAUACCGGAUAAUAUUUUGAACCGCAUGGUUCAAAAGUGAAAGACGGUCUUGCUGUCACUUAUAGAUGGAUCCGCGCUGCAUUAGCUAGUUGGUAAGGUAACGGCUUACCAAGGCAACGAUGCAUAGCCGACCUGAGAGGGUGAUCGGCCACACUGGAACUGAGACACGGUCCAGACUCCUACGGGAGGCAGCAGUAGGGAAUCUUCCGCAAUGGGCGAAAGCCUGACGGAGCAACGCCGCGUGAGUGAUGAAGGUCUUCGGAUCGUAAAACUCUGUUAUUAGGGAAGAACAUAUGUGUAAGUAACUGUGCACAUCUUGACGGUACCUAAUCAGAAAGCCACGGCUAACUACGUGCCAGCAGCCGCGGUAAUACGUAGGUGGCAAGCGUUAUCCGGAAUUAUUGGGCGUAAAGCGCGCGUAGGCGGUUUUUUAAGUCUGAUGUGAAAGCCCACGGCUCAACCGUGGAGGGUCAUUGGAAACUGGAAAACUUGAGUGCAGAAGAGGAAAGUGGAAUUCCAUGUGUAGCGGUGAAAUGCGCAGAGAUAUGGAGGAACACCAGUGGCGAAGGCGACUUUCUGGUCUGUAACUGACGCUGAUGUGCGAAAGCGUGGGGAUCAAACAGGAUUAGAUACCCUGGUAGUCCACGCCGUAAACGAUGAGUGCUAAGUGUUAGGGGGUUUCCGCCCCUUAGUGCUGCAGCUAACGCAUUAAGCACUCCGCCUGGGGAGUACGACCGCAAGGUUGAAACUCAAAGGAAUUGACGGGGACCCGCACAAGCGGUGGAGCAUGUGGUUUAAUUCGAAGCAACGCGAAGAACCUUACCAAAUCUUGACAUCCUUUGACAACUCUAGAGAUAGAGC